GCUCUCUUAGCUCAGCUGGUAGAGCACUUCAUUCGUAAUGAAGAGGUCACAAGUUCAAGCCUUGUAGAGAGCA
rnacentral:tRNA from 1 species